AUACGUAGGGAGCAAGCGUUAUCCGGAUUCAUUGGGCGUAAAGCGCGCGUAGGCGGCCAUGCAAGCAAAACCUCUAAUCCGAGGGCUCAUCCCCCGGCCGGGUUUUGAACUGCAUGGCUCGAGUUGGGUAGAGGCAAGCGGAAUUCCCGGUGUAGCGGUGAAAUGCGCAGAUAUCGGGAAGAACACCGAUGGCGAAGGCAGCUUGCUGGGCCUUGACUGACGCUGAGGUGCGAAGGCGGGGGGAGCGAACAGUAUUAGAUCCCCUGGUAGUCCACGCCGUAAACGAUGGGCACUAGGUGUGGGGGAGCCUCUCCUCCGUGCCGCAGCUAACGCAUUAAGUGCCCCGCCUGGGGAGUACGGCCGCAAGGCUAAAACUCAAAUGAAUUGGCGGGG
rnacentral:rRNA from 1 species